GGAGACGUGGCCGAGUGGUCGAAGGCGCUCCCCUGCUAAGGGAGUAUGGGCCAAAAGCUCAUCGAGGGUUCGAAUCCCUUCGUCUCCG
rnacentral:tRNA from 1 species